rnacentral:rRNA from 1 species
GCGGUGGAGUAUGUGGUUAAUUCGAUGCAACGCGAAGAACCUUACCUGGUCUUGACAUCCCGGAGACCCUUAGGAAACUAGGGGGUGCUUCCAUCUGGAAGAAUCUGGAGACAGGUGCUGCAUGGCUGUCGUCAGCUCGUGUCGUGAGAUGUUGGGUUAAGUCCCGCAACGAGCGCAACCCUUGCCUUUAGUUGCCAGCAGUUCGGCUGGGCACUCUAAAGGGACUGCCGGCGUUAAACCGGAGGAAGGUGGGGAUGACGUCAAGUCCUCAUGGCCUUUAUGACCAGGGCUACACACGUACUACAAUGGCCGAUACAAAGGGCAGCGACACUGCGAGGUGAAGCCAAUCCCGUAAAAUCGGUCUCAGUCCGGAUUGGAGUCUGCAACUCGACUCCAUGAAGUUGGAAUCGCUAGUAAUCGUGGAUCAGCAUGCCACGGUGAAUACGUUCCCGGGCCUU